rnacentral:rRNA from 1 species
UGCAAGUCGAGCGGACAGAAGGGAGCUUGCUCCCGGAUGUUAGCGGCGGACGGGUGAGUAACACGUGGGUAACCUGCCUGUAAGACUGGGAUAACUCCGGGAAACCGGAGCUAAUACCGGAUAGUUCCUUGAACCGCAUGGUUCAAGGAUGAAAGACGGUUUCGGCUGUCACUUACAGAUGGACCCGCGGCGCAUUAGCUAGUUGGUGGGGUAAUGGCUCACCAAGGCGACGAUGCGUAGCCGACCUGAGAGGGUGAUCGGCCACACUGGGACUGAGACACGGCCCAGACUCCUACGGGAGGCAGCAGUAGGGAAUCUUCCGCAAUGGACGAAAGUCUGACGGAGCAACGCCGCGUGAGUGAUGAAGGUUUUCGGAUCGUAAAGCUCUGUUGUUAGGGAAGAACAAGUGCGAGAGUAACUGCUCGCACCUUGACGGUACCUAACCAGAAAGC